UCUCUCCUUGAUUAGGUUCCACCCAUUGCUUCUUGUCCUGCCUUCAGGUGCUUUGGAGAAUAGCACAAAAUGAGGACAAAGAAAGAGAUUCUGAACUGGACUGCAGAAGCCCAACUCCUAAGACCAAAUCAGUUGGAACAUUUGGAAUCUGGAGGUGGAGUGAAGUGAAUCUGGAGGUGGAAUGAAGUGCCCAAGAAGUCUACAGUGCCUGCAGAAAAUCACCUGCCAAAUGGAAUGUGCACUUCCUAAACACCUAACUAGCCAAUAAGUGUUGCUUUGCCUGAAACUAGAAAUCCUCUCUUGGCCAUUUAUGAAUAAAAAUAAGUGGUGUCCAUCUUUGCCAAUGGAAUCUGGAGCUUCACCUGCAAGUG